rnacentral:rRNA from 1 species
GACGGUGGAUGCAAGCGUUAUCCGGAAUGAUUGGGCGUAAAGCGUCCGCGGGUGGCUGUUCAAGUCUGCUGUCAAAGACCGGGGCUUAACUUCGGAAAGGCAGUGGAAACUGAACAGCUAGAGUAUGGUAGGGGCAGAGGGAAUUCCUGGUGUAGCGGUGAAAUGCGUAGAGAUCAGGAAGAACAUCGGUGGCGAAGGCGCUCUGCUGGACCAUAACUGACACUCAGGGACGAAAGCUAGGGGAGCGAAUGGG